rnacentral:sRNA from 1 species
UCUUACCCAUGUCUUUUGAGUACCUUCUUUUCCUCGGCGGGUCCGCCCGCCGGUUGGACAACAUUCAAACCCUUUGCAGUUGCAAUCAGCGUCUGAAAAAACUUAAUAGUUACAACUUUCAACAACGGAUCUCUUGGUUCUGGCAUCGAUGAAGAACGCAACGAAAUGCGAUAAGUAGUGUGAAUUGCAGAAUUCAGUGAAUCAUCGAAUCUUUGAACGCACAUUGCGCCCCUUGGUAUUCCAUGGGGCAUGCCUGUUCGAGCGUCAUUUGUACCUUCAAGCUCUGCUUGGUGUUGGGUGUUUUGUCUCGCCUCCGCGCGCAGACUCUCCUUAAAACAAUUGGCAGCCGGCGUAUUGAUUUCGGAGCGCAGUACAUCUCGCGCUUUGCACUCAUAACGACGACGUCCAAAAGUACAUUUUUACACUC